rnacentral:misc_RNA from 1 species
UCUGACCGUCUGAAGGAACAUUUACUUAAUUUGGUAUAUGUAAUAAAUUAUCAUAGAAAAGCUCAUUCCUGAUGUUGUUUUGUAGUGGGUUGUACCCACUGUUCAGGUCUGGGGCAAGUGAUCUGUGUGGUGCUUGUAUCCAUAUUCAAGUCUCCCUUAACUUGAGUUCUGAUGAUGACUUUGACCAUCAGUGUGACUUGGAAGGGCAAUUAAGUUCACAUGAAUCUGUCAGUGGUAGUUCUUCAGUUGAGGAUAAUGUGCAAGACAUCAGAUCAAUGAUUUCCACUCAGGAUCACACUUUGCCUGUUAAAUCAACACAGCAUGAAACAAACAAACAGCUGCCAGUCACUGAAGCUGAGGACAACACAUUCAUGGCACAUGUAAUUAUUGAACAAGCACUUCACCUUCCUACAGUUCCAGGAGACAAUGAUGCAAGGUAUUCAAUCAGAUCUAUUCAGUACAUUUACAGGGAGAAAACUGGUUGAAAAAGUGAUGUACAUGUUUUGAAUUAUUAUAACAUUGGUAUUUAUUUAUUUAUUUAUUUUACAAUUACAAUUCAAUGGUGUACUUAAAAAAUAAAAAAUAAAAUAAAAUCAACAAAUAAAUUAUAUUAAUUAACAUAGGGAAGCCAUAAGGGUAAUCCGUGCAAGAGUAAAGAAGCUCCAUAUAUAUACACGACAGUUCACCUAAUGUAAUCACAAUAUAAAUAUUAAGAACAUACAUAUCAUUAAAAUUUAUUAUAGGCUAAUCUAAAAAUGUAUUAAAAAUAAAGAAAGAAAGAAAGAAAAGCUCUAAACAUCAAUAAGCAUUCAUCAAUAUGGACAGUUAGUUCCCUACCCCACCCCAUCUACAAUUGUAUGAGAAAUAUUUAGGUGUAAGCAAAUCAGAUAAUGUAUAAAACUAUUAAAAUUGUGAACUAAAGAAAAUGACUGUUAUUAAAAGGGCAGCAUUGAUCCUACUCAUAAAAAUGAACAUAGAGUGAAAAGUUAAGUAAAGAAGUUGGUAAAAAUGAGCUAAUAUCCCAAGAAAAUACUUACAUAGUUCAAACAAGUUACUGGAGAGGAAAGCAUUAACAUCAGUAUUAUAUGCUGUACCACCGAAUAAACAUGCGAAGAAAAGAAAACUGAAUUGACAAACUUAGUUUAUGGUCAGGUACGUGCGCACUCUGUUUUACUUUUAAAACUUUGAAAUUUUAUACGUCAUAAUAUUAUGUAAUAAGAACAUUUUAGCCUACUGUUAUGUAGUGAACACUUGUUCAUGUAGCCAUUGCACUGACAAUGAAGGAUGUACCACCAAAACAUGUCUGAAAGACUGGGUUGACCACAACACCUGCCCAACAUUGAAUUGUGGGGCCAGGACUAUCAGAGAAUUUUCAUUAGAUGCAUUUAUUGUCAUUUUCUAAUAGUUUCUCAAGUACUUUUGACACCCAUUGUACCUUGGUAGUGUCAACGUUGUGUAUUUUCAACUCUUUGCUGGCAAUUUCUUUUCUGAAAGACAUGCUGUCAGUUUAUCAGAGUGCAUGCUCAAAACAAUUAGUAAUUUAAAAGUGAAAAUAGAAAUGCUCCCAAAGGAGCCAUUUGUUGGUUGGAGGGCUCUGUGUUGGACAUCUGUCAAAUGAUUGACAGACAGACAGACAGACAGACAACCUUUACUUAAGUACGAUUAGAAUUAAAACAAAUGACUGUCUGAUGUCAGAUGACUUUCUGUUGGUUAAUUGACUGUUGGUUGUUUGUUGGGGCAACAGGUAACAAUUUUCCUGGUUUUACAUGUAUGUGUCAGCCGAUUGUUAGUCAAGGGUUGGCUCACAGUCCACCAGCUUUCCAUCAGUAAAGUGUUGGUACAAUUACUGCCCAAUGUGUAUGUUUCUUAUCAAACACUUGCCUCCUUACCCCUGGCAUCUACACCAGUUGUCAAGUCUUCAUGUAAUCCGAAAUGGGAAUAUCAGAAGCUGGAGAGGAUCAGUUACACUUCACUUAAAUCACAGGUGAAGUGUUAUCUAGUAUACAAUAAAAACAUAGUAGUGUAUAACCUCAUUUUCUGCCCCUAACAGUAACCUUGCUUAUCUUACUUUUGUUCUCACAAUUCAAACAGACUAUAUCAAACUAGGGGUCAUGUGCUUAACUCAAGGUUAAUUUGCAAGAAUGCCACUCAAAUAUGGCAAACAAAAAUUUCAUAUAAACCUAAUAUUGUAUAACAUGUUGAGAAUUCCAGUGUGCUCAUGUUUGCUGACAAGCUGCUGCCAAUUAAUCAAAGAGUGGCUGAUGAGUUGAACUCAGCAUAUCCAGAUAGUGAUAGUACGGUGGGCUUGAACCCAGGACACCCUUGCAUCAGCAUUCCUGCAAACUAUUGCACCAAGUGAGAGAAACAUAUAUACAUGUAUAAUGAGAUUAUUUCUUUGUUAAGAGCCUGAUAUGGCUUUUAUUCAUAGAUAAUUACAGUUGAACCUCCUGUAAACAACCACCCAAAGCCUAGGUGGUCACUUACAAGAGCUUAGACCAUAUUGGGUCAAACUUUGGCCUCAUUAGCAUAUGAUAACUGCAG